AAAGCAAGAGUGGAACUGGCGUCUGAUAUGGUGGACCAGCUGUGGAUGGGCUGGAGGCAAAAAGUCUGGUGAGUGGACAGCACUGACCAUCCAGCCGUUGGUAGUUUUAUUGGUUGAGUUUGGACGCUAAUCCAGCCACUUAUGGAAUGGCUAGCACAGUCCAAUCCCCUUUGAUUUUGGGACGUGGUCCACUCACAUGGUGGCUUACAGGAGGGAUUGAACUGUUAUGCAGCCGGCUGCAUUUUAGAAUUUAUCCUAUUCUAACCCAAACGGGUGGGAAAUGGUUUUAUGAGAAAAUCGGCUAAUUUGGCCUUAGGUGAGAGAAAAUUGGUGUUUGGAUGUGCAAUAUGAAUAGUUUGCAAUUCUCCUCAAUUAUGAUUUUUAACCUUCAAGAUUUGGGAAAAAGAAUUGUUUUACUUUAUUCUGAUAAAAUGAAUUUAUCGCGCACAAUUAGGUGGACAGUCCAAUAAUCCAUCUUGAAUAUUCAUUCAUGUCGUACCAUUGUUGGGUUGCUAGGGAACAGAGGUCACGGUCAAAUUGAAGAUCCUAAGCUUCUGAUCCAUUGCAUGAAAAUAAUGGACCACCGAGAAUAGGUGGAGUAAAACUUGAGUCUGACAUUGUUUUGAAAUAUCUAAUAUUGGACGGCUGAAUCGGCCUCUUUUCUUCUUUUAAUUGUCUGAAAUGGGUCAGUUCUAUGGGUUGUAACAAAAUGGGCACUGCACGUUCACCGGUUAGGAUCAUCCGGUUCGUGUGGUUCUUGGAUCAUGGCAUGUUGCAAGUUUAUUCGAAAUAGGACAAUCCGACAUCUUAUGCAUAUUGCAUGUUAUGGUAUUAUAGAAGGUAGUGUUAGUUACCUGUUUUAGCUAGCAAUAGUAAUUGUUGUUUACAGUUUUAGCAAGUAGGGCAUGGCGGGAGUCUUUCUCAUUAUGUCUUCUCAAGCACUUGUGCAUCAGAGUUAUUCAGAGCCCGUUUGAGGAAGUGUUAUUUUUUUUCUCUUUUGAUUUGAUUAAAUUAGAAAAAGUGUUAUAUCAAACACAAAUCAUGGCAAAAAUGGGAUAUGAUUCAACCACAAAUUUCAAGGUUUUGUGUCCCUAACUACAAUCAUUGGAGCAUUCAAUGAAAGUUCUCUUUUGAUCUCAAGAGUUACGGAAUUUGGUAGAGAGUGGGUACACUAAUGUAACCAAACACAUAAGCGUUUGAAGCCCUUCUACAAUUAAGAAAAGAAGCAUUUCAAGGUAUCAGAAAGAAUUAUAAGAAAGGAAAAAGAAGCACUAUUUCAUUGAUAAUAUCAAUUGGAAGACACCGGUUAAAACAAUAAAAAAAUUGAACUCGUCUCUGAAUUUUUUCAGAGUUUAAAUUGACAGUGGAAAAGCAAAGGGGCUUCUCUUUGAAAGUUAUUAGAAUUGAUGAAGGGGGUGAAUAUACCUCAAAUGCUCUUGAAAACUUUUGAAUUAGGUGGCUAAAAGAAAAACUAGAAUGAUCAUGGAGAUGAUGAGAAGCAUGUUGAAAGGAAAAGGCAAGUUUAUUUCCUUUUGGGCAGAAAUUGUAGCUAGCAUAGUGUACCUGUUGAAUAUGUCUACUUGUGAAAAGCCUUGAUCAUGAGACAUCAUCAGAAAAAAAAAACACAUGGGAGUCAGAGAUCAAAUCUCUCAUAUUUGUGUAUUUCGACUCCAUCUGUGCACAUGCGCUACUGGAAAAAAUGAAGAAAUUUGAUAAUAAAGGAAUCAAAUGUCUUCAAUGACCAUAGUAAGAAGGCAUACACACUAUACUAUCUGGUUACAAGUAAUUGUUAAUAGAGAUUAGAAAUUCAAUUAAGCAAGUGCUUGAAAUUAGACCAAGGAAGAAAAGCGAUAGCUUGGAAUACAUGUUAAUUUUGAAGAUGAAGUGGUUGGUCUAGUUGCUUCUCCAAGUCCAUCUCCACCAGAUACUCAGACAUAGGCAUCAUCAUCGAGAGCAUCUUCACCUUCACCUUCAAUGUCUCUUUCCAUUAGGUCGGCAUCAUCAACGAGAUCAUCUUCACCCUCAAUGUCUCUAUCCAUUAGGCCCACUUGUAGAAAUCUUCCUUACAUCUAGAUUACCCAUAAAUCUGAAGUAACCCGUGAUAAUGAUAUUGAUGAUGAUCUGAUUAAUUACAUGUUAUUCUCAAAUUGUGAUCCUCUUUAGAUUUAAAGAAGCUGUCAAAGAAGAAAAGUGUGUCAAAUUCAUGGACAAAGAAAUCGAAGUAAUUCAGAGUGUAAAAUAAUUGAUUUGAAGUGGGUCUAUAAGACCAAGUAUAAGGCGGAUGGUUCAUAAAUAUGCAUAAAUCAAGGUUAGUGGUGAAAGGUUGCAAACAAAAGCCCAAUAAUGGAGAGAUCGAAGUGAUUCAAGGUGUAAAAUAAUUGGUGUGAAGUGGGUUUAUAAGACCAAGUACAAUGCAAAUGAGUUCGUUGAUUGGCACAAAGCAAGGCUAGCAGUGAAAUGUUAUAAAUAAAAAAUCCAUUAUGCAAACCUCUUUGUAAAAGAAAAAAAGUGGGUCAAAGCUGGACGAAGAAAUGAAAGCGAUUCAUAAAACAAUAUGCAGGAGUCAACUUCUAGCCGGGUAUAAACAAAUCGGUGUGAAGUAGGUUUAUAAGACCAAGUACAAGGCAAAUGAGUCAAUUGAUAAGCACAAAACAAAGUUAGUGGUGAAAUGCUACAAACGAUAUCUCCAUAUUAACUAUCAUGAAAUAUUUGUUCCUAUUGCUCGAAUUUGAUAUGUUAGUUUGCUAAUAUCUUUAAUGACA